UGGGAUGCGCAUGCGCAGACAGAGUGUGCGAGCGGCGGGCCUUGACCUUUCGGGAAAAAAAACCUCACGGACGGUGACAGCGAAACGGAUAACAGUCUUCAGUACCUGCUGGACUUUGAAGCUGUGGAUUCUGGGACUGUUGGAAAAGCUCCAACAAAAUGAGGAAGAGGAGGGGGAGAAACACAAUUAGGUUGAAUUACAAUUGGAUGGAAGGCGAGGACAAGGAGAAGGAAGCUUAGGAUGAGGAGGAAGAGAAGCAGCAGGAGCAUCUUUAGGGCUCCCUAUGAUGAGAGGCAGCGGUGAGAAGGGAGACCUCGGCUCAUCCAGCUGGAGAGCCUGACCAGGACGAGUCGAACAUUAACUCAGCUCUUCCAGGGCACCCUGCAGACUCGGCUGUUGGCAACAACGAGGGAUGACGUGAACGCCAAACAGGAGUCCAUCACAGGUCAACUGCAGCUCCUUGUCUCAGAGUGGGAGGGGUUUGAAGCACAAAGGGAGGAACUUGUCGUUUGGUUGGCUGAUAUGGAUGUCUGCCUGAGUGAGGUUGACCAGCUGACAGGAAACACCAGUGAAAAACUGAAACAACUGCAGGUGAGCAUUCUUACAUUGAGUUUCUGUGAACGUGAAGCGUAUCAGUCAAUGAAAGUAAGAAAUGUGGACGAUGGGCACAUCAUAAACAUAAACAGGUGCAGUUUUAAUUACCGAGGGACAGUAACAGACAUGGUUGUGAAGCCUGUAGAUAUAAUCAUCAGGUAAAUAUCUUUUUAUAGAAUCUUCAUCACGAUUUAGAUAACGAUUAUGAAGAUAACUUUUGCAAACACUGUACAAAGACAUUUCAAAGACUGAGGCCAUGCCUCUUAACUGGAAGGUUGAAUCGGGUUAAGCAGGGAUUAUACUUUCUUGCAUCCGGGAGUCCACUAAGGCCCGCUGCAGUCACAGUCACGUGAAUUUCGUCAGACAGCGUGAGGGUCCUUGUAGAUGUCCAUGUGGCUGCCUGUUUUUUGUGGCGUUACAGGCUGUGGAGAAUUGACAUUACAGUGCACCAAAUAUUCAUGUUCCAUACUUCAUGUUUAAGACUUAAAUAAUUGAUGAUAAAUUAUAUACACAUUUUUGAGACUUUAGACCUGAUACAGAUUUUCUUGAAUCAUUCAGCCAGAUACUAUAUGACUGCAAUAUUAAAUAAUCAAUUUCAGUCAAUUAGGCUUUCGUAUUAAGUUCUGAGAUCUGAUCAGAAUAUGCUGAUAAAUGCUGAUCUUCUUCUGUGGCAGCUUAAGUGGUCAUAAAGUUUUUUUCUGCUGCUGAUAUGAUUUUCUACAAUGCCACCAAGUACGCUGUAACUGCUCUGACUGAGGGCCUGGGGCAGGAGCUGCAUGCAGACUUUGUAGAGACAGAAUUUGAACACAGCUCUACAGGGAAUAUCCUGAUAAAGGAGCAUAAGACAGCCUAUGAAAGCAAUAGAUAUUGCCAGUGCUGUCAUAUACGUGCUCAGUGCCCCCUUCAUGUUCAGGUUGGAGACAUUCUGUUUGAAGGUGUGUUGCAGGUGAAGCAGAGUUUGUUACCCUGGCAACUACAGUGCAGGAACCCAUAAUAGCUUUACAUUAAAGUGGUGUGAUUGAUUUGCCUCACUACUCAACUCUGCCAAAUUGUAGUCAAUUCACAGCAGACUGAAAAGAAAGAAACUCAUCCAGCUGUUAACUCUUCUUCUCAAAGCCUCACCUGCUAUCUGCUCAGAAGUGCUGUUGACCAACCAGGAUUACCCAGGAAAACACUUUAAUUAAUGACAACUUCCUACUUAUUAUAUUAAAUCUUACUUGUUGGAUAGUUUUAAACCAGUAAAAGGUUUGUUUUGUUGUUGUUGUUUUUUGUUUUUGUUUUUGUUUUUUUUUACAGUUAAAUCAAUGUUAACUGGUUAAAACCUUAUUGGUUAGACACACACAGUGUGCAUUUUCACAUCACUGAGAAGAGGCUACUGGUAUGAAAACCUUUCAGUCAAACCUAAAAAGUACUCUCUUGAUUUGUGUGAUAUGCAGCAGACAGUGAUAUUUCGGCAGAUAAAGGAUAUAUGGAAUAUCCUCCAUCAGAAAUCAUUUUCAUAGCUUUUUCGUGCAAACUAUUAGCAAGAGCUACAGUUACAUUUUGGAGUUGGAGUUUUAAGUUGCAAACUGUAGUAGGUGUGUGAAAAGUAAAUUUACAUUGUGUAGCUGGUUAGAUAUUUUUGUUUCAUAUUUUGCCUUUGUCUUUUUUACACGACUGUACUACGACCUCUAGUGGUUAACAUUAUAAUGGAAGUUAAAGCAGAGCUGGUUUGGUUUCAAAAACUGGCAGCAGAGUGCUGGCCAGCCCUUUCAAGUGUGACUUGACCAAAUAGCAGGAAAUUCUGUCCACGACUGUACUACGAUCUCUAGUGGUUAACAUUGUAAUGGAAGUAAAAGCAGAGCUUUGAAAUGCAAAAUGAUGAUGAACUUCAGUGGUCUGUUUUCUUGGGACAUUUGUGCUCUUCAUUAACAACCAGCCAUGGUUUAAUUUCCAUACAUCAGUAUUGCCAUGUUUAUACCAGUGUUAUCUUAUUAUGAGUGAACUGCUUGUUUAAAAUGCAAUUAAAAUGAAAGUUCAAUAAGUCACAGUAAAAAACAUGAAAUAACAGAAAAUCACAAAUCUGAAUAUGCAGAGAGGCAUCUGAGAAGAGAAAGAGCUUAGCCGUCAUGAUGUGUGUCGGUCUACCAAUCUACAGACAAACUCGACAUGUCUUUUCUCCACAAGUCUUCCUCAAACAGAAAUCAUAUUUAAAAUAAACCAACUACUACUGCCACAAAUAAUAAUAAUAAUGAUAAGGAGGUUUAUUCUGCUGUGUCAUGCUGACAUGAGACCAAGAAACUGGGCGGGCAGCCAGUUUAUCCUACUGUAAAUACAUUAAUAAAACCGGUUAGUUACAAUUCAUCUUCCAUUAUAACACUGUAAACCUGACUAUGUAAAAUGUAACAAUUUUUGGUGUAGUGUUUUAUUUUAUAUGGGUUAUUUAUGGAAGCUCGUCCCCCG
ensembl:lncRNA